rnacentral:rRNA from 1 species
UUCCGGUUGAUCCUGCCGGAGGCUACCGCUAUCGGAGUCCGAUUUAGCCAUGCUAGUCGACCGAGCUUUGCGCUCGGGGCAGAUAGCUGAGUAACACGUGGCUAACCUACCCUGUGGAUCGAGAUAACCUCGCUAACGUGAGGCUAAGCUCGAAUAGCAGAGAGGUACUGGAAAGUCUUCUCUGUGAAAUGUUACGGCGCCACAGGAUGGGGCCGCGGCUGAUUAGGUCGUUGGUGAGGUAACGGCUCACCAAGCCUAUAAUCAGUAACAGCCGUGAGAGCGGGAGCUGUCAGUCGUGUUCUGAGACAAGAACACGGACCCUACGGGGUGCAGCAGGCACGAAACCUUUACAAUGCACGCAAGUGCGAUAAGGGGACUCCGAGUGCAGUCUUCCCACAAGGAAGGCCGCUUUUCUGUACUGUAAGGAGGUACAGGAACAAGGGGUGGGCAACACUGCUGCCAGCCGCCGCGGU